rnacentral:rRNA from 1 species
AAGGUUGACCUCGGAUCAGGUAGGGAUACCCGCUGAACUUAAGCAUAUCAAUAAGCGGAGGAAAAGAAACCAACAGGGAUUGCCCUAGUAACGGCGAGUGAAGCGGCAACAGCUCAAAUUUGAAAUCUGGCGCAAGCCCGAGUUGUAAUUUGUAGAGGAUGCUUCUGGGCAGCGGCCGGUCUAAGUUCCUUGGAACAGGACGUCACAGAGGGUGAGAAUCCCGUAUGCGACCGGUUGGCACCCGUCACGUAGCUCCUUCGACGAGUCGAGUUGUUUGGGAAUGCAGCUCUAAAUGGGAGGUAAAUGCCUUCUAAAGCUAAAUACCGGCUGGAGACCGAUAGCG